CUACGGGACGCUGCAGUGGGGAAUAUUGCACAAUGGGCGAAAGCCUGAUGCAGCAAUGCCGCGUGUGUGAAGAAGGCCUGCGGGUUGUAAAGCACUUUCAGUAGGGAGGAACAAGUAACGGUUAAUACCCGUUACCCUGACGUUACCUACAGAAGAAGCACCGGCUAACUCUGUGCCAGCAGCCGCGGUAAUACAGAGGGUGCAAGCGUUAAUCGGAAUUACUGGGCGUAAAGCGCGCGUAGGCGGUUUGGUCAGUCGGAUGUGAAAGCCCCGGGCUUAACCUGGGAACUGCAUCCGAUACUGUCUAGCUUGAGUACAGGAGAGGAGAGUGGAAUUCCACAUGUAGCGGUGAAAUGCGUAGAUAUGUGGAGGAACACCAAUGGCGAAGGCAGCUCUCUGGCCUGAUACUGACGCUGAGGUGCGAAAGCGUGGGGAGCAAACAGGAUUAGAUACCCUCGUAGUC
rnacentral:rRNA from 1 species